GACGAACGCUGGCGGCGUGCCUAAUACAUGCAAGUAGAACGCUGAAGGAGGAGCUUGCUCUUCUGGAUGAGUUGCGAACGGGUGAGUAACGCGUAGGUAACCUGCCUGGUAGCGGGGGAUAACCAUUGGAAACGAUAGCUAAUACCGCAUAAGAGUAGAUGUUGCAUGACAUUUACUUAAAAGGUGCAAUUGCAUCACUACCAGAUGGACCUGCGUUGUAUUAGCUAGUUGGUGGGGUAACGGCUUACCAAGGCGACGAUACAUAGCCGACCUGAGAGGGUGAUCGGCCACACUGGGACUGAGACACGGCCCAGACUCCUACGGGAGGCAGCAGUAGGGAAUCUUCGGCAAUGGACGGAAGUCUGACCGAGCAACGCCGCGUGAGUGAAGAAGGUUUUCGGAUCGUAAAGCUCUGUUGUAAGAGAAGAACGAGUGUGAGAGUGGAAAGUUCACACUGUGACGGUAUCUUACCAGAAAGGGACGGCUAACUACGUG
rnacentral:rRNA from 1 species